AGAGCGUCGGAGGGGACCCAAGUCCACGCUGGGACGCCCGGGAGGAGUUCAGGGUUCAAGUGCGCGCCUGGGUCUGUGCACAUCUUCCCCUUCCUCGGCCUCCCUGGAGGGAAGACCGUAGAAGCUUUAUCAUAGGGCCUAGUGUCAUGAUCAUAUAUUUACUCCAUAAAUACCUGUGAGAUGUCUUCAAGCUUAUCUUCAUUUACAUUACAUGGGAAGAAAGCUAAUGGAACUUGAGAGCAGGUGAAAUGGAAGGCUAUGUGCAAGUUCUAAGGGAAUAAAGUUUGUUUUCUAAUGUUGCCUCUUUAUGUAGAUUGUUUUUUCAUAACUUGAUUAAAAGUCUCCGUCCUUUUCACCUUC
rnacentral:lncRNA from 10 species